GGAGGAAAGCAGGGGAUCGCAAGACCUUGCGCUCAUUGAGCGGCCGAUGCCUGAUUAGCUAGUUGGUGAGGUGAAGGCUUACCAAGGCGACGAUCAGUAGCUGGUCUGAGAGGACGACCAGCCACACUGGGACUGAGACACGGCCCAGACUCCUACGGGAGGCAGCAGCGGGGAAUUUUGGACAAUGGGGGAAACCCUGAUCCAGCCAUGCCGCGUGAGUGAAGAAGGCCUUCGGGUUGUAAAGCUCUUUCAGCCGGAACGAAACGGUCACGGCUAAUACCUGUGACUACUGACGGUACCGGAAGAAGAAGCACCGGCUAACUACGUGCCAGCAGCCGCGGGAAUACGUAGGGUGCGAGCGUUAAUCGGAAUUACUGGCGUAAAGCGUGCGCAGGCGGUUUUGUAAG
rnacentral:rRNA from 1 species